CCACUGAUCUGAAGCUGCAGUGCUUGUUAAAUUGGAUGGUUCUUUAUUCCAGAUGUCGCAAAGUUGAGGGAAACUCUUAAAAACACAGAACUUGAGAAGAUCCGCAAGAACUUUGGUAAAGAACUUUGCAGAAUCAUAGACUCCUACAGUGUGGAAGCAGACCAUUCAGCCCACACUGAACCUCCCUAUCCCUUUACAUCCCAUGGCUUGCCCACCUAGCCUGCACAUCCCUGGACAUUAGGGGCAAUAUCCCACGGCCAAUCCAUCUAACCCGCACAUCUUUGGACUGUGGGUGGAAACCGGAGCACCCAGAGGAAACCCACGCAGGCAGGGGGAGAACGUACAAUCUCCACACAGGGCCGCCCGAGGGUGGAAUCGAACCCGGGUCCCUGGCACUGACCACUGAGCCACCAGGCCUGCAAUUCAAGUCAAACUUGGCUUAAAAUCGGAAAAGCACUGGGAUUCAAAGGAAAUUAGUUCCUGCUAAGUCAGUAAAAGCUUCAUCAAUUAGACAUGGAUUGAUGGUUUCUUUUUUUUCUUUCUGACUUCAACAGUGGAUACGUGCCAAAAGAUGGAAGAUACUGAAAUCAGAACACUGGAAUAAAGAGCGGACCAGGAAUGCCUUAAAGAACAAUGGUUUAUAUGCUAUUAAUAAACGGAAAAUAAAAUUUCUACAGCCUCCAAUUCCUUUGCAAUUGCAAGUAGCCGAGGACUACAGGCAACUACAAUGGGGCAGAUAGCAGUAUAUUCCCCACACUGUUAAAUGAGGGGAGGCUAUAACGGUGUGAUGUUAGGGCAGGAGAGAGACAGAGGUUCACCCAGCCAUUACGCGUCCUGCCUGAUUUGUAUCUCACACAAAGAACUAGCAAUCUGCCCCACUGAUCUAAAGACUCCAAGGGAAGUGAAAAUGAUAAUGAAUCAAACCCCCAACCACCCACCAGUGCAGACCUUUAGCUUUGCAUCCGAACCACGAACAUUGCCCUGGUAAGCUUAGAAGCGAAGCUCACCCAAUUUUCCUUUCCUGUCAAACUCGAAGCUGGUAAAAUUAAAGCAGUAUCCAUAUUGCCCUGGAUUUCCGUCCUCUUGUCGCUGCCUGUGUGUAAGACCAUAAGACAUA